AUGGGUGAUGUUGAGAAAAGCACGAAUAUUUGUGUUCAGAAGUGUGCCCAGUGCCACACCACGGAAAAGGGAGGCAAGCACAAGACUGAGCCUAACCUCCAUGGUCUCUUUGGGUGGAAGACAGGUGCCAUUGGAUUCUGCUACACAGACACCAGUAAGAACAAAGGCAUCACCUGGGGAGAGGACACACUGAUAGAGUAUUUGGAGAAUCCAAAGAAUUAGAUACCUGGAACAAAAAUGAUCUUUGGCGGCAUUAAGAAGAAGGGAGAAAGGGCGGACUUGAUAGCUUAUCUCAAAAAAGCUGCUCAUGAGAAA
rnacentral:lncRNA from 1 species